rnacentral:rRNA from 1 species
UACAGAGGGUGCGAGCGUUAAUCGGAAUUACUGGGCGUAAAGCGCGCGUAGGCGGCUUUGCAAGUCGGGUGUGAAAUCCCCAAGGCUUAACCUGGGAACUGCAUUCGAGACUGCAUUGCUAGAGUAUGGGAGAGGGAAGUGGAAUUUCCGGUGUAGCGGUGAAAUGCGUAGAUAUCAGGAGGAACACCGGUGGCGAAGGCGGACAUCUGGCGGCGAUACUGACGCUGAGGAGCGAAAGCAUGGGGAGCGAACAGG